rnacentral:lncRNA from 1 species
UUAUUUUUAGAUCCAUUUACCUGUAUAUCUAUAUAAUCCAGAAACACAGUGUGCAUUCUUUCCUCUCCCUUUCUUUUCUUCACAGCUUCAUUUUCUGACAGUGAAAAUCUUGGCUUCUCUUAUCUACUACUUUUUGCAAAUUUGUUCAGUCCUGGUUUAGAUGUAAAGUAGUUUCAGAAUGGCCAACUGUUACUCCUCCGAGUAACGGAUUUACCCAUCAUAGUACAGUGCUUAUGUUUUUCUUCUUCUUUGUCUUGUCAGCGUAGAGUAUCAGCUAGAAUACUGGGCUCCUUUUCUGUGCCCAUUAUAGUGAAGUUAUGUCAUCCAUUUGUUAUAUAUGUAUUUUUUCUUCUGGUCUGCUGCAUUCCAUCCCAAGAUCCCCUGACAUCGGUUGAUUUUUUUUUUUUAAAUAUUGCAUAAGAAUUUAGUUCACUCUUUGUGGCGUACAGGUCUGUGGGUUUUGACAUAUACGUACAGUCAAGCAUCCACCAUCCCAGGGUCAUUAUGAACAGUUACAUCACCCUAAAAUUCUGUGUGGUCCCCUAUCCCCGGGCAACCACCGAUUCUCUCCCUGACUUUUGCUUUUUCCUGAAGGUGAAAUAAUAUAAAAUAUGCAGCCCUGGUAGUUCCUUAGUGGUCUGGUGGUUAGGACUUGGUACUUUGAUCACUACGGCCGGGGUCUGGGAACUGGGAUCCCACAUCAAGCUGCUGCAUGCUAUGUGCACCCUCCUCCACCCACUGCAAAAAAAAAAAAAAAAGAUUUAAAAAUAUGCAUCCCUUUUUGUCAAGGGAGGAGUUUGGCUUCUUUAACUUAGGAAAAUGCAGGGGAGAUGCAUCAGUUUAUUGGGUGAAUCAAUAAAUUGUUCUUUUUUAUUGCUGAGUAGUAUUCCAUUGUAUGAAUGUACCACUGUUAAUCAUUUGACUGUUGAAGGACAUUUUGGUUGUUUCCAGCUUUUGGAGAUUGUGAAUAAACAUUUUUGUAUACAGAUUUUUGUGUAGCAUGAAUUUUCAAUUCUGUAGGUAAAUACCUGCGAGUGGGAUUGCUGGGUCGUGUGGUAGAUGUGUGUUCAGCUCUAUAUGAAACUGUGAAGCUGUUUUCCAAGGUGGCCAUCAUUUUGCAUCUCUCUCCCUCCUGUGGCACCAUAUCCUCACCAGCUUUUGGUGAGAUCAGUUUGUUUUACUUUGUAAAAAACAUAGCCACUCUAAUAGUGUGUAAUAAGAGCGCCUUGUGGUUUUACUUUGCAUUUUCUGAAUAACUUGUAAUGUUGAGCCUCUUUUCAUGGGCUUACCUGCCACCCAUAUCUCUGGUGAAGUAUCUGCUGAGGUCUUUUGCUCAUUUAAAAAACUGGGUUGGGGCGUUCCCGUCAUGGCACAGUGGUUAAUGAAUCCGACUAGGAGCCAUGAGGUUGCAGGUUUGAUCCCUGGCCUUGUUCAGUGGGUUAAGGAUCCAGCAUUGCCGUGAGCUGUGGUGUAGUUCGUAGAUGUGGCUCGGAUCCUGCGUUGCUGUGGCUCUGGCGUAGGCCUGUAGCUACAGCUCUGAUGAGACCCCUAACCUGGGAACCUCCAUAUGCACGGGAACGGCCCUAGAGAAGGCAAAAAGACAAAAAAAUAAAUAAAAAAAAUAAAAAAACUGGGUUGGGAGUUCCCAUCAUGGCUCAGCAGAAAUGAAUCCAACUAGGAACCAUGAGGUUGCAGGUUUGAUCCCUGGCCUUGCUCAGUGCAUUAAGGAUCCGGUGUUGCCAUGAGCUGUGGUGUAGGUUGCAGACACGGCUUGGAUCUGGCAUUGCUGUGGCUCUGGCAUAGGCCAGCAGCUGUAGCUCCGAUUAGAUCCCUGGCCUGGGAACCUCUAUAUGCUGCAAGUGCAACCCUAAAAAAAAAACAAAAACAAAAAAACCCCCCACAUAACUGGGUUGUUUUCUUAUUGUUGGGUUUUGACAAUUUUUAAUGCAUAUUUUGGAUAUGUGAUUUGCAAAUAUUCUCUUCCAUUUGAUGACUUGUAACUUUUUUUAAGAACAGAAAAUAACUGGUUCAGAUUUAGCGGCAAGGCAACAUAAUUUAAUAAAGGGGGUAAUGAUGCAAGACAUAGAAAUGCAGUAACAAGAUCUCUGCCUCAAAUCGUAAAUGAUCCUUUAUUUUUCCACAAUCAACGAAAAAGCAUUGUUUUAGCAGUGGAUCAUAUUGGGGUGGACCUCUUUCCUGUGUGUGUGUGUGUGUGUGUGUAUGAGCACAAAUCAUUGUGUGUACAUUUUCUGCAGUAUAUCUCGAACUGGGUGAUAGUUACAUGAGUAUAUAAAUAUGGAGAGUCACUGAACGGUGCAGUUAAAGUGUGUGCAUUUGAUGGCAUAUAUGUUACUACUUGAUAAAAAGAUGUAUAUGUGGAUAUAAGGCGGUGGAGCUUUGGACAGAAGUAAUCACAGCAAGUAGAGAUUAUGUAGAAAUGCUGGAGUAUAUAUAGCAGAACGGUCCAUAAUGCCACGUGAUUGUCCCACAGAAGCUACAGAGAAGCUUCGAAGGAAAGUAAUGACCAGUAUAUGGCUCAUGCAUAAAGGCUAGCUCUCCUGUAGCUUGAGAAAUGGAUGGUUGUGCUUGGUAACUAUGAAUAAGUAGCCUCAUGUCUUUCUUGGUUGUAGGGUUUUAUUAACAAGCUAAAAUUUACCUGUACAUUUUUUUAAGCUUCUUUCAUGCUGUGCUGAUUUGGUAAUUACCUAAAGACUUCCUUUGCCAGGGUGGGGAUAUCGAUGUUGUUAGAAUAAAGUCAUGUGAGAUACGGGGUCUUCCUUUUAGGAACUAAACCUAAAACUUGUCAUCCAGUUUUUACAGCCUUGGGAUAAGAAAAUUGCAUAACUCAUAGAAAAGCAUCCCAUACACGUUGCUAAAACAUAAAGCCCUGAGAAGCUCGUGCAGCUGGCUGGCCUAUGCUUUAAUUGUGGAUUGUGACUAUAUUUUGAGCUGAGAUUUGAAGAGCUCACCUCCUGAGAACUGUUGGUUUGGCCCAGAACCAAAUGUAGUACAAGAGCUGGCAGGCCCGGUGGGGAAGCUCUGGGCCUGGAAUUUUAUUCCUGUGUCAGAGACUUCGUCUCUCUGUUUCUCAAUGGAGGCAAGAUGCUUUUGAGUCAUUCCAGGUGGAGGCUUGACAGGGUUCAGACCUGAAGACUGGGUUACAUAAUUACCCUUCAGGGCCAGUGUCAUUAAUAACUUGUGCGCGAACAUAUCGAAAGGACACAAGGCCUCCUCCUUUCAGGUUGUGUAUUUACCCCCAGGUCUCGUUGCUGCUCUGCUGAAGAUAGACCUCCCAUCCCAUCUUCCCUCCCUUCCCCGUACCCCAUCUUCCUCCCCGCCCCCCAUCCCUUUACCCCUUUCUCCCACCUUCUCCCCCUCGUCCCCUCUCCUCUCUAGGGUAGAGAUAUGGGCACAAUUAAUUUUGGUCAUAUGUACACACUCUUAAACCAUUUCUUUCUAGUUUUCCUUAUAAGCAAGCAAUGCACAUUCUACUGCACCUAAGCCUGUGCCAAUAACUGCGCAUCUCCUUUCUCUUGCCCGUAUGUGACCUUAUUUUUAAAUGAAAAUACUCUUGUCUUUUUGGUCAUACAAAAGCAUAAUUUCCAUUUCAUGCUUCCAAGUGCAAUUCUGUAUUUGAAUUCAAAGAGCGAUGUAGGUGCAAAGGCGAAACAGCUUCUUUGUUGGCCUGGUGACUCUGGCUUGGAAUCCGGGCAGGAGCAGGCGCUAAGCGGAUUUGGCAGCCAGUCAUGCUGCUAAUUUGUGUUCCUAACCCCUCCUCCGAGGCCAACCCAGGAUCAGUCAUUUGGAGACACAGGUAUUGGAAAUGCCUCUGAACAUCUUGCUGCUUUGGACGGGGUAGCAUUGAACUUCGGCGACCCCAGCUGCUCUCUGAAGCGGUUCCAAGGGAAUGGGCUCUCUGCAGCCAGCCAGAGCCCCUCCCAGCCCGCUCUGCCCCGUGCGGGUCCCCAUCCCUCUCUUCCCAUCCCCCACCCUCACUGCCCCCUGUGGCCUCACCGUGAAGACGCCUCACAGUUUCUCCUUUGGAGUCGGACUCUGGUUUACAUCCUGUCUCGCUGAUGUCUGUUGUUAGUUGCUCCCAGUGCAUCACACGUGAGACGGUGAGGGCCCGGGCUGUGGACGCAAAUCCCGUCUGCGCGGUUCUGCUGGGGCCCGGGCCUGGCCUGGGAGCCUCCUCCCGGGCGAAGAGGCUGUGCGUGCCCGUGCAGACCUUCAGAGGGGACCCGCCAGAGCUGCUUUGAGUGGAUGGCUUCGAUAUUUUAUGAGACUUCUGCCUCCUAUUUCUGGGGUGUCUUUUCAGUUCGGGCCUGGUUUUCCUGUAGUUUUUAUCCUUUGUAAUAAACUUUGAUUUCAGAAAUGGGAAGCAAGCCCAGAUUUUAACCAUAAGCUUCUACAAAUAUUUGGCGGAAUUCUUCUCUGCAUACCUUCCUGAGGUCUAACGGUUACACUGAAGUGAAAAUCUUCAGAUUAGGUGUUUUUUUUUUUUUUUUUUUUAGGGCAACACCCCUGGCAUUUGGAAGUUCCCAGGCUAGGGUCAAACAGGAGCUGCAGCUACCGGCCUACAUCACAGCCACAGCAACUCAAUAUCUGAGCUGCACCUGCGACCUACACCACAGCUCACGGCAACACCGAAUCCCCAACCCUCUGAACAAGGCCAAGAGUCGAACCCGCAUCCUCAUGGAUACUAGUCAGAUGUGUUUCCACUGCACCACAACGGGAACUCCUGAUUAGUUCUUUGCCAGUAUUUCCGUUUACAAUCUUCCUAAGUUGCUGGAGCUGCAGAGUUCUCGGUAAAGCCCCCCACCCCCCACCGUAUCUUGGGGUGCAGCCUCGGCAUUGCAGGGCCCCAGUUAGCAGGGCCAGUGGGCUGAGAGAACUCACUCUAGGCUCGGCACACAGGGUGCUGGUUUCUACGUUGUUCACAGGCAGCAGUGUAACAUCUUUUCGUUGUUGUUGUUCUUUUUGCCUCUUCUAGGGCCUUACCUCCGGCAUAUGGAGGUUCCCAGGCUAGGGGUCGAAUUGGAGCUGUUGCCGCCGGCCUACGCCAGACCACAGCAAUGUGGGAUCCGAGCUGUGUCUGCGACCUACACCACAGCUCAUGGCAACACUGGAUCCUUAACCCACUGAGCGAGGCCAGGGUUCAAACCCGCAUCCUUAUGGACACUGGUCAGGCUUGUUACUGCUGAGCUACAAUGGGAAAGUUCCUCUCCUUUCUUCUCCACACGUUAGUGAGGUCUGUGUAUGUGUGUGUGUAAUAAACACUCCCUUAAUCUUAGUUUAAUCCAUGAAUCUUAAGUAGGUGAAGUCCUUAAGUUUAAGGGAUUUGACUGAACUGAGCUGUGUGUGUCAAAGCUUCAUUUUGCAACACUUGGCCAGUUGUUGAUAGUUAUCCAUAAAGAUCUUAAGGAAUUUACAGAAGUUUUAGGAUUAGGAAGAAGAUAACACUACUCUCAUCUCGUCAAUGUCUUGAGGCUUUUUUUAACCUCAGAGUCUCCAGUUACGUUAAACACACUCAUAAUUUGCUUUCUAGUGUCCAAACAUAACUUCUUUUUAAAAAUUGACGUGUAGUUGAUUUAUAAUGUUGUGUUUGUUUACCUUACCUUCCUUUGAGUUUAGCAGAGAUCUACCCUGAUUGAUCCCUUGGGUAAAAGAUAGAGUCUUUAAAGGGGGGAGCACUUGUUUGAUUGAGAGGUGGACCUGGACCUAGCUUUGAGGACCGGGAAAUGUAAUAAUUAGGCCGGGAGUGGGGUUGGGAAUAGAAAAGCUCCUCCCACCUUUUUUUAAAAGCUGAGUCAGGGAUCUCACCUGCAUCACAGCAACGACUCGAGCCCCUGCAGUGACAACCCAAAAGGUCUUACCACGCGAAGCAAAGGAGCGGCGUGUGCAAAGCCCCGCUUGCAGGAAGGACUGUGGCUGGAGUGGAAGGAUGGAGGAAGGUGAGGCUGGGGAGGCAGGAAAGGGUUGACUUUGCAAGACGUUGUAGAUCCUAUUAAGGACCUUGGUCCUUCAUCCGAGAGCAUGGAGAGGACUCCAAAGGGGUUUCAAAGGUAGAUUUGGGGAAAGCAGAUGGGAGGCAAUUGCAUUUGCCCAGAGGACGGUUGGUGUCUCAGACGGGGUGGCAGCAGAGGAGAUGGAGGGAGAUGGGUGUGCUGGGAAGAUACUGAGAAGGGCCCAGCAGCGGGCCGUGGAGGGGAGAUGGAGGUGAUGGAGUGUUGAGUUUUCAUUGCCCUCAAGGCAGCCUGGAGCUUGGAGGAGAGAUCUGUGCUGGGGGGCUGGGCACUUAAGCCACACUGACUCUCUACCCACUGAAGCUCUAGAAGGUAGGGCGUCUCGGGCCUCACUAACCACAUGGUGGAGGCAGGAUGUAAAUCCAGGACUGGCCUUCCUGCAGAGGGCACUUUUCCUUUCUACUGACCUCUAAACUGCAACAACCUACUCUAGUUAGGUUCUGUUCCCCCCUCCCCCCUUUUUUUUCUUUUUUAGGACGGCACCCACGGCAUAUGGAAGUUCCCAGUCUAGGAGUCAGGUCACAUUGGGGCUGUAGCUGCCAGCCUAUGCUACAGCCACAGCAAUGCGGACUAUGAGACAAGUUUGCGACCUACACUGCAGCUCAUGGCAUCCUUGACCCACUGCGUGAGGCUGGGGAUUGAACCUGCAUCCUCAUGGAUACUAGGCAAGUUUGUUUCCAUGGAGCCACAGCUCCUUAGGUUCUGUUUCCCUCUUUAGGAAAUUCUAUGAGUGAGAAGCUGCCUAGUGUCUUACCAGCCUUUAUAGCCACUCUUAGCUGUUAGUAAACAUUUUAGCCUGAUUUUCCAUUGUUUGAUUCAAGUUGAAUCAGAGAGCUAGAGCUUCCAUUCAUUGGAAGGAAAUAAUGGUGCACCUUUGGGGAAAUGCUUAUCAACGAUUUUAUAAAGAAGCAUGUAUUUGCAUAUAUUUUUGGUAACCGUCUGUGCCUGUUCGAAGUUAGACACCAAAAGAAAAUUAGGAACAGACAUACACAGAGAAUCAUUACUUUGUAAAAGCGUAGAAAAGCGUUGAUGGCCUCUGUAAUUUUAGUAUAGAAGAGACAGCCUACUUGAUAUUAAUAUUAUAGCAGCUAAAAUAUAUUAGAAAAA